GGGGAAUAUUGGACAAUGGGCGAAAGCCUGAUCCAGCGACGCCGCGUGAGUGAUGAAGGCCUUCGGGUUGUAAAGCUCUGUUGAGGGAGAAGAAAACAGUUAGGGCGAAUAGGCCUAGCUCUUGACGGUAUCCCUUUAGAAAGCACCGGCUAACUCUGUGCCAGCAGCCGCGGUAAUACGAAGGGUGCAAGCGUUACUCGGAAUUACUGGGCGUAAAGCGUGCGUAGGUGGUUCGUUAAGUCUGAUGUGAAAGCCCUGGGCUCAACCUGGGAAUGGCAUUGGAUACUGGCGACCUAGAGUGCGGUAGAGGGGUGUGGAAUUCCCGGUGUAGCAGUGAAAUGCGUAGAUAUCGGGAGGAACAUCUGUGGCGAAGGCGACACCCUGGACCAGCACUGACACUGAGGCACGAAAGCGUGGGGAGCAAA
rnacentral:rRNA from 1 species